CACGCCGUAAACUAUGAAUACUAGGUGUUGGUGGCUCGAUCCCACCAGUGCCGUAGCUAACGCGUUAAGUAUUCCGCCUGAGGAGUACGGUCGCAAGAUUAAAACUCAAAGGAAUAGACGGGGACCCACACAAGCGGUGGAGCAUGUUGUUUAAUUCGAUGACAAACGGGGAACCUUACCCAGGCUUGACAUCUCUGGAAUCCACUAGAAAUAGAGGAGUGCCGCAAGGAACCAGAAGACAAGCGC
rnacentral:rRNA from 1 species